GACGAACGCUGGCGGCGUGCCUAAUACAUGCAAGUAGAACGCUGAAGAGAGGAGCUUGCUCUUCUUGGAUGAGUUGCGAACGGGUGAGUAACGCGUAGGUAACCUGCCUGGUAGCGGGGGAUAACUAUUGGAAACGAUAGCUAAUACCGCGUAAAAUUGCUUAUCGCAUGAUAAUUAAUUGAAAGAUGCAAUUGCAUCACUACCAGAUGGACCUGCGUUGUAUUAGCUAGUUGGUGAGGUAACGGCUCACCAAGGCGACGAUACAUAGCCGACCUGAGAGGGUGAUCGGCCACACUGGGACUGAGACACGGCCCAGACUCCUACGGGAGGCAGCAGUAGGGAAUCUUCGGCAAUGGGGGGAACCCUGACCGAGCAACGCCGCGUGAGUGAAGAAGGUUUUCGGAUCGUAAAGCUCUGUUGUAAGAGAAGAACGGGUGUGAGAGUGGAAAGUUCACACUGUGACGGUAUCUUACCAGAAAGGGACGGCUAACUACGUGCCAGCAGCCGCCGUAA
rnacentral:rRNA from 1 species